CAAGCACAGGGAGAGAGAGCCGAAAUAAAGCUACAGCACAGCAGAGCAGUGCAGAGAGAUCAGACUGGAGCUGGAGAUGUUGCUGUUGGAGUGAGCUUCGAUGAGCGAAACUUUUGAUCUCUCUUUGGCUGAGCGCAAAAACCAAAAGCAUUCGCACUCACGCUCUAACGGUGCGCUAUACGUAUUGUGUUGCACUAGUAUUGGUAGCCGCGCCAUUUCUAGUAUCAUUAUCGCCCCAUUAAACACGUGGAAAGCAGUCGACACACGCGCAAAUAGUUACAGCUGCAGUAAAACAUCGAAGUCUAUGAAUUUUCAGCAUUGAGUAAAUAACUCAAUCGCUCUCUUUACGUUUGCUGUUGAAAUUAUCCGAACAAAUUUUAUUUCGUGAGUGAAGAAAGCUUGCAUAGCUUAUCAGACAGUGCGAACUGUCGGUGUGUUAUCAAUUUGUAUUUGCUGUUUGCAGAACUGUGUAUGCGUUUCCUCACACCUUACGUAAAAAUAAAAAUAGCCGAGUGCUCAUACGCCGUGUGUGUACAGAAUUCUGAAUAAAACUUUGGCAGUUUUUCUUGCAACCAAACCAAACCCAACCCAAUCGUAUCGUAUCGUAUCUUAUCAAUGCCAUAUCUCGCAUUUUCUGAUAAUACCGCUCUAAGUGUAUUACUCGUUGCAUUCACAUGAAUUUCGAGUUCCGAUUGCGUGCUGUUUUUUGGCUAAUUAUUGUUAUGCUCGCAACGAGCUAAAGUUAAGCUUUUAUUUUAGGUGGCGGUACAAUAGAAGUCAAGUGCUGCGUGGGUGGCUUUUGUUUACGUUUUAGUGGGUUUCUGGGUCAAAGUUAAUGGUCACACUGUCUAGCUAAAGUGCGUGCCAGCAUUGUUUUAGCUAGGCAUGCGCAGCUAGAGUCGGAGAGAGAGAACGAGAUGCACAGCACAAAAGGGAGUGAGAGAGUACAUUAUACUUGUUUGUUUGAUUUCAAUUUUCGUAUUGGAAUUUUGAGCGAAUUGUUUUUGGGUAAGUCGCGGUUGCUAGCCACAAAAAGAACACCAAAGGCAGAGGAAAAGGUAAAGGCAGCAGCAGCGGCAGCGGCAGCUGAGUGGCAAAACUUGUGUUAAUACCAAUGUUAAAUAUUUGAGUUGAAUUUAUCUUAUCGCCGUAUCUCGCGCACACACAUUUUGAACCCGAUACAACGAGCGUUACGUGUAUUUGUUCUGCCAGGCAAAUCGAGUGAAAGACUCCUCACCUGCCCUAAACGAGUGCCUGUUGCUGAUUUUGUAUACUCACUCGCACGUCAAUUGAAUCGGAAGUGUCCAAUAGCUGGCAAAAAUUAAAAAUACAAAAAAAAGAAAGCAAAAUGGGAAGGCGAGAAAGAAAAAAACAGAGCGCACAAUGGAGUUGAGUGAGCGAGCUGCAACCGAAUUAGGCAAAUGAGUUGCACUGAACCGGAAACAUACAAUUAACCGUCAAUCCCCGGCAAUGUUUCAUAACCAAUUGCAUCGAAAUCGCUUCAAUCGGCAAACGGCCAAAGACACAAACCCAUUUGGGGGUGCAGUACUCAAACUACUCGGAGUCGAAAAAUGUAAAUAUGGAAAGCGCAAAUUUGGAGACCCAGCUAGAAAGAGAGAGAGAGAGAGAGAGAGACGAUCACGUUCCGGCUCAGCGACUGUGCUGGACAUUUCAUUUGAUUUUGGGUGUAAUUUUCCGAUGCCUUCUUUAGUGCAAAGAUACCGAGUAUACAAAAUAAGAUUUGUUGUGGAAGCAUUAAUUGUUUCUACGUGCUGUUCUAGAAAUGCUUGUCGCCAGUCAUCAUAUACGACAUAUCAGCAUGGAAUUAUGAUCUACCCGAGACGUGAUACCCAUUUUUGGGGCUCGGCUUGGCCCCGUUUAUGCUAUCAGCGAUUACAGUUACAAUACGAUGACGACUCUUCUUACCAAAAUCCGAUGAUAAUGGGCAGUGUAAAAUUAAUAAAA